rnacentral:rRNA from 1 species
GUGUCAGCAGCCGCGGUAAUACGUAGGGUGCAAGCGUUGUCCGGAAUCAUUGGGCGUAAAGAGCGUGUAGGCGGCCCGGUAAGUCCGCUGUAAAAGUCCAGGGCUCAACCCUGGAAAGCCGGUGGAUACUGCUGGGCUAGAGUCCGGAAGGGGCGAGUGGAAUUCCUGGUGUAGCGGUGAAAUGCGCAGAUAUCAGGAGGAACACCAAUGGCGAAGGCAGCUCGCUGGGACGGUACUGACGCUGAGACGCGAAAGCGUGGGGAGCAAACAGGAUUAGAAACCCUGGUAGUCC